CCUCAUUCCCGUAACUCCCUCCUUUUCUUUCGGUAUCUCACCCCUCCUCUCUCCUUUGUUCCUCGUCGCCCCAACCCCGCGCACACCUGCUAGUGCUGGGGACUGUCUUCUCCUCCUCAUCCAGCAAGCUCACUUACUCGCAGGUGCCACACUCCCAGACUCCGCCCGCCCGGCGCUGAGGACUGAGGCGACCGUUGCGGGACAGUGGGAAAGGGAUCUCAAGGGAGGAGGCUUCUUAACUGGACUGUAGGGAAGUUGUUUCCACUCCGAAGUCCCAGGUGACCAGGCUGGGUUUGCCUGCUCUCCCAAGACCCUCUCUGCUGCUUCCAGGCGGAAGAACUGACGGAGGUGGGAACCCUUUGGCUUCAGACAGGUUCCAUAAGCCUUUCUGGCCUCUGGCCUUUGCUGACCCGAGGGUGGAAGAGCAUGCUCCACUCCUCCACUCGUGUUGAUCGCUUGAGGUUCUGUUCCUCGAACUCAGAAAUCCGCCUGCCUCUGCCUCCCGAGUGCUGGGAUUAAAGGUGUGUGCCACCACCGCCCGACAGGGCAAACUGUUUAGACCUACAUCUGCCAGGGCUCCAAGGUGGACGUUCUUGGGCCAGUCUCAGCACUCUGCUUCCCUCCAGGACUGGGCACUUGCCCAGCCCAGCCCUCAAUGCAGGAGCUUGUCCUGGGACAGGCAGAGAAAGGAUCAGGAACAGAGAGAAGCCCUCAGAGGAACAGGAAAGGAGGCUGCGCUGGGGCAGAAGAGACAGCUGGGAAGGACUGGGAAGAAAGCCCUUGGGGCAUGGCUGAGCUGCUACAAAGGGAGAGUCCCA
rnacentral:lncRNA from 1 species